rnacentral:lncRNA from 1 species
AUAAAGACAGACCAGUAGUUGUCCAUUGGAUCUAUUGUUGUUAAGUCAAACGCGACUCAAUGGAAGAUAAAGAUAGACCACACCAUUCACCACGCAAUGUAGGAUAAAAGUAAAAUUGAGUACCUAAUGUAAUAUUGUGACGUAAUUCUAAACAUAUGGAAAAACAACAAACUAAGGACAUGAUCUGAAAAUCACAAUGAAACCUUAAGAACCUGCAAUGAUUGGUUUAGAGCAUGGAAAAGUAAUUCAAGUACCAACGGUAUAUAUAACAUGACAUUAGGUGUCUCAAUACAAGUCCUGCAAUGAUUGGUUUAGAGCAUGGAAAAGUAAUUCAAGUACCAACGGUAUAUAUAACAUGACAUUAGGUGUCUCAAUACAAGUCCUGGACAAAACUAGAACUAAGAACUCCUAAGAACUCCACCUACUACUCUAUAUAUGCUUCUACGCCAAUAAGACUACUAUUAAAGCCAAUCUAGGACAGACUAGUUGUUCAAUUUGAAGGAGAAGUAGAUCCGGGAGUAUUGGACCUUGAAAACGAUCUAGAACUCGCCCUUACACUUGAACUUCUUGAUCGAGAAUGAUAAAG